UAUAUUUCCAUUACCUGAAUGC
rnacentral:miRNA from 1 species